rnacentral:misc_RNA from 1 species
GAUGAAGAACGUAGCGAAAUGCGAUAAGUAAUGUGAAUUGCAGAAUUCCGUGAAUCAUCGAAUCUUUGAACGCACAUUGCGCCCCCUGGCAUUCCGGGGGGCAUGCCUGUCCGAGCGUCAUUUCUGCCCUCCAGCCCGGCUGGGUGUUGGGCGCUGUCCCCCCGGGGACACGCCCCAAAGGCAGUGGCGGUGCCGCGUCGGGUCCUCGAGAGUAUGGGGCUUUGUCACCCGCUCGGGACGGACUCGUCGGCGCUGGUCUUCCUCCAGGCGACCCUUCGGGGCUCGUCUUCCUUCGGUUGACCUCGGAUCAGGUAGGGUUACCCGCUGAACUUAAGCAUAUCAAUAAGCGGAGGA